ACGAGUUCAGACUCGUGGCGAAUAGCUCAGUAACACGUGGCCAAACUACCCUUCGGAGCUCCAUACCCUCGGGAAACUGAGGCUAAUAGAGCAUACCAUACCACCACUGGAAUGAGUGGUAUGCCAAACGCUCCGGCGCCGAAGGAUGUGGCUGCGGCCGAUUAGGUAGACGGUGGGGUAACGGCCCACCGUGCCAAUAAUCGGUACGGGUCAUGAGAGUGAGAACCCGGAGACGGAAUCUGAGACAAGAUUCCGGGCCCUACGGGGCGCAGCAGGCGCGAAACCUUUACACUGCACGACAGUGCGAUAGGGGGAUCCCAAGUGCACAGGCAUAGCGCCUGUGCUUUUCGGUACCGUAAGGUGGUACCAGAAUAAGGGCUGGGCAAGACCGGUGCCAGCCGCCGCGGUAAUACCGGCAGCCCAAGUGAUGGCCGAUCUUAUUGGGCCUAAAGCGUCCGUAGCUGGCCGCGCAAGUCCAUCGGGAAAUCCACCUGCUCAACAGGUGGGCGCCCGGUAGAAACUGCGUGGCUUGGGACCGGAAGGCGCGACGGGUACGUCCGGGGUAGGAGUGAAAUCCCGUAAUCCUGGACGGACCGCCGAUGGCGAAAGCACGUCGCGAGGACGGAUCCGACAGUGAGGGACGAAAGCCAGGGUCUCGAACCGGAUUAGAUACCCGGGUAGUCCUGGCCGUAAACAAUGC
rnacentral:rRNA from 1 species